UACUCUCUAUGUACAUUCUUACAAAGCUCCUACUUUCUGUGAUUACUGUGGUGAGAUGCUCUGGGGAUUGGUACGUCAAGGACUGAAAUGUGAAGGCUGUGGAUUAAAUUACCAUAAACGAUGUGCCUUCAAGAUUCCAAAUAACUGUAGUGGAGUAAGAAAGAGACGUCUGUCAAAUGUAUCUUUACCAGGACCCGGCCUCUCAGUUCCAAGACCCCUACAGCCUGAAUAUGUAGCCCUUCCCAGUGAAGAGUCACAUGUCCACCAGGAACCAAGUAAGAGAAUUCCUUCUUGGAGUGGUCGCCCAAUCUGGAUGGAAAAGAUGGUAAUGUGCAGAGUGAAAGUUCCACACACAUUUGCUGUUCACUCUUACACCCGUCCCACGAUAUGUCAGUACUGCAAGCGGUUACUGAAAGGCCUCUUUCGCCAAGGAAUGCAGUGUAAAGAUUGCAAAUUCAACUGCCAUAAACGCUGUGCAUCAAAAGUACCAAGAGACUGCCUUGGAGAGGUUACUUUCAAUGGAGGUAAAAUUAUUUUUCUUAAUUUUUGUGAAAGAUCAGAAAAGGCCAUGAUUCUUUGGUGUAUUAUCUUUGGAUAAGGUUCUGUUUUCCUGAUUUAUUUUGUUUCUUAAAGAUUUUCUUCUGAUUUAAUAAUCAAACAAAAUACACAGACCACUGACAGUAUACAUUUAUUAGUAAUCAUGCCUUCCCGUCUUUCCUCUGGCCACCUGUUACUUUGUAGUCUAAUAUAGCCAGUGGUA
rnacentral:sRNA from 1 species